AAAUGACCAGAUGGCAGGGGAGGGGUCAAGUCAUCUUCACAUCCCACGUCCCAUGUGCACUUAUCACCAUCACACACAGAGAACACUGCGCUGAACCCCCUCAUCAGAUGGGAAAAUAGAAACACUGAGACGCAAAGGGACCCACUCAAGUUUACAUGCCAAGUCAAAGGUGACUCCAACUCAGAGCUCUGCUCUUCAAUUUCCUUGGCCAUAGAAGGAAACUAAGGACUAAGAGGCAGUGGCAUGCUGAGAGUCAUAUUUCAGGCCACACUGGCAGGAGUAGACAGGGGACCAAACAUCCAGAUUCUUGGCUUGCUUUGUGCAUGCUCCCCUCAGCCCCUGUGUCCAGGGGCCCUAAAGGUCCUAUUCAAUGUGAAACUUCUUAGAAGCAGCAGCCUUCUCUUUCCACUUUGUUAUUAGAUGUUUGGACACCAAGGAAUAACAAUGUCUAACAUGCCACCUAUAUUAACUACUUUACUGAUUUAAUCCACUCACAAUGGGUACAACUGGUCCAAAGUUAUAGGGGAUAAGGGGAGCCCAGAGUACUCAAGAUACUGGCAUUGUUGAGAGAAGCCAGUCUGGGGAGGGAAAAUGGGAAAUCAAGUACACAUUUGGUGCCCAUGGGGGUCAAAGCAACUUUCUAUAUCAUCUCAUCCAAUCCUCAUGGGUACUCUGAGAUGUGGGCACUGCUCUCCCCAUUUUAAGG